rnacentral:rRNA from 1 species
GACGAACCGUGCGAACGUUGUUCGGAUUCACUGGGCUUAAAGGGCGCGUAGGCGGGCGGUCAAGUCGGGGGUGAAAUCUUUCAGCUUAACUGGAAAAGUGCCUCCGAUACUGAUCGGCUCGAGGGAGGUAGGGGCAUGUGGAACUUCCGGUGGAGCGGUGAAAUGCGUAGAUAUCGGAAGGAACGCCGGUGGCGAAAGCGACGUGCUGGACCUCUUCUGACGCUGAGGCGCGAAAGCUAGGGGAGCAAACGGG